rnacentral:rRNA from 1 species
CCCUUAGAUGUUCUGGGCCGCACGCGCGCUACACUGAAGGACUCAGCGUGUCUCUCCCCCUAUCCCGAAAGGGAUGGGCAACCCGUUGAACCUCCUUCGUGCUAGGGAUUGGGGUUUGCAAUUAUCCCCCAUGAACGAGGAAUUCCCAGUAAGCGCGAGUCAUCAGCUCGCGUUGAUUACGUCCCUGCCCUUUGUACACACCGCCCGUCGCUACUACCGAUUGGAUGGUUUAGUGAGACCCUCGGAUCGGUCCCGACUCGGGGUGGGCUUCUGCCCCGGUCGUGGUUUCGCCGAGAAGACGGUCAAACUUGACUAUCUAGAGGAAGUAAAAGGCGUAACA